UAGGGAAUCUUCGGCAAUGGACGAAAGUCUGACCGAGCAACGCCGCGUGAGUGAAGAAGGUUUUCGGAUCGUAAAACUCUGUUGUUAGAGAAGAACAAGGGUGAGAGUAACUGUUCACCCCUUGACGGUAUCUAACCAGAAAGUCACGGCUAACUACGUGCCAG
rnacentral:rRNA from 1 species